AGGAACCCUAGCCUCCACCCCCUUCCAUGCCAAGAUCUAGGAAAGAGAGUCAUAGAGUGGAAGACUCUUUGUUUUUUUAGAUCUAUGAUGCUUCUCCUUCGGAUUGGAUUUGCUCUAGCUAGGAACAUCCAGAUCAUAGGUUUGAAUCUGCGUACCUAGAUAAUGUUAUUCAAGUUGCAAAGGACAUCUAUGGAGAUUAUUCAGUUGUUGAACGGGAACCUUAUGAAUGUAAAGUGUGAGCUGCAAUAAGUAAGCAAAAUACACCUCUUUUACAUAGUGCUUUUAUUUUCUCCAUAUUAUUUUUUAUGUUUCUUCGA